UACGGGGGGGGCAAGCGUUGUUCGGAAUUACUGGGCGUAAAGGGCUCGUAGGCGGCCAACUAAGUCACACGUGAAAUCCCUCGGCUCAACCGGGGAACUGCGUGUGAGACUGGAUGGCUUGAGUUUGGGAGAGGAAUGCGGAAUUCCAGGUGUAGCGGUGAAAUGCGUAGAUAUCUGGAGGAACACCGGUGGCGAAGGCGGCAUUCUGGACCAAUACUGACGCUGAGGAGCGAAAGCCAGGGGAGCAAACGGG
rnacentral:rRNA from 2 species